rnacentral:lncRNA from 1 species
GGUAAGCAACAUCAAUCAACUAUCAUUUACUCCUCAGCUACUUGCUGUUGUUCUUAAGAUUGCAUUAGCCUAAAAAAUUCUUCAAGAAAUUGAAAUUUACGAAAUUUACGAAAUUUUUUUAUAUUUGAUUUUAGGGUUUAUUUUGGGAAAUAAAAAUUUACGAAAUUGUAACACUAACAUAUAUAUAUACUCUGAUUGUGUGUAUGCAAGUUUAUGUUAGUUAUCUUACACAAUCAGUUAAAAAUUAACACAUAUUUAAUUUAAUAAAAUUUAAAAAUAAUUCGGUUUUUCGGUUCGGUUUUUCGGUUCAGUUAAAUGAACCGAAUACCGAACCGACAUUUCGGUUUUUUUAUAAAUUGUACCGUUCGGUUUUUU